rnacentral:rRNA from 1 species
AGUGAACGCUGGCGGUAGGCCUAACACAUGCAAGUCGAACGGCAGCACAGGAGAGCUUGCUCUCUGGGUGGCGAGUGGCGGACGGGUGAGGAAUACAUCGGAAUCUACUUUUUCGUGGGGGAUAACGUAGGGAAACUUACGCUAAUACCGCAUACGACCUACGGGUGAAAGCAGGGGACCUUCGGACCUUGCGCGAUUGAAUGAGCCGAUGUCGGAUUAGCUAGUUGGCGGGGUAAAGGCCCACCAAGGCGACGAUCCGUAGCUGGUCUGAGAGGAUGAUCAGCCACACUGGAACUGAGACACGGUCCAGACUCCUACGGGAGGCAGCAGUGGGGAAUAUUGGACAAUGGGCUCAAGCCUGAUCCAGCCAUACCGCGUGGGUGAAGAAGGCCUUCGGGCUGUAAAGCCCUUUUGUUGGGGAAGAAAUCCAGCUGGUUAAUAUCCGGUUGGGAUGACGGUACCCAAAGAAUAAGCACCGGCUAACUUCGUGCCAGCAGCCGCCGUAA